rnacentral:rRNA from 1 species
AACGAACGCUGGCGGCAGGCUUAACACAUGCAAGUCGAACGGUUGUAGCAAUACAGCAGUGGCGCACGGGUGAGUAACGCGUGGGAAUAUACCGAGAAGUGGGGAAUAACUCCGGGAAACUGGAGAUAAUACCGCAUACGCCCGAGAGGGGAAAGAUUUAUCGCUUUUCGAUUAGCCCGCGUGAGAUUAGGUAGUUGGUGGGGUAAUGGCCUACCAAGCCGACGAUCUCUAGCUGGUCUGAGAGGAUGAUCAGCCACACUGGAACUGAGACACGGUCCAGACUCCUACGGGAGGCAGCAGUGGGGAAUAUUGGACAAUGGGCGAAAGCCUGAUCCAGCCAUGCCGCGUGAAUGAUGAAGGCCUUAGGGUUGUAAAGUUCUUUCGCCGAUGAAGAUAAUGACGGUAGUCGGAGAAGAAGCCCCGGCUAACUUCGUGCCAGCAGCCGCAGUAA